UCAAGCUAAAAAGAGCGCAGGGUGGAUGCCUUGGCACUAAGAGCCGAUGAAAGACGUGAUAAGCUGCGAUAAGCUACGGGGAGGAGCACAUAUCCAUUGAUCCGUAGAUUUCUGAAUGGGGAAACCCGGCUGAGCAUACCUCAGUCACCGUACACUGAAUCCAUAGGUGUACGGAGGGAACCCGGUGAACUGAAACAUCUAAGUAGCCGGAGGAAGAGAAAGAAAACUCGAUUUUCAAAGUAGCGGCGAGCGAAAUGGAAAGAGCCCAAACCGGAGUGCGUGCACUCCGGGGUUCGGACUGCAUUUAUGACUUCUGACUGUAGCGGAACGGUUCUGGAAAGACCGGCCAGAGAGGGUGAGAGCCCCGUAGGCGAAACGGAAAGAAGCAGAGCAGGAUCCAGAGUACCACGAGACACGAGAAACCUUGUGGGAAUGAGCGGGGACCACCCCGUAAGGCUAAAUACUCCUUAGUGACCGAUAGAGCAGAGUACUGUGAAGGAAAGGUGAAAAGGACCCCGGGAGGGGAGUGAAAGAGAACCUGAAACCCUGUGUUUACAAACUGUGGAAGUACCAUAUGAGUACAACCGCGUACUUUUUGUAGAACGGUCCGGCGAGUUACGUUUACUGGCGAGGUUAAGCACUUAAGGUGCGGAGCCGAAGGGAUACCAAGUCUUAACAGGGCGCAUAGCUUCUUACGAAGCAUUAGUCAGUGUACGUAGACCCGAAACCGGGUGAUCUACCCAUGUCCAGGCUGAAGUUGCCGUAAAAGGCAAUGGAGGGCCGAACGCACAUCCGUUGAAAAGGGUGGCGAUGAGGUGUGGGUAGGGGAGAAAUUCCAAUCGAACCCGGAGAUAGCUGGUUCUCCUCGAAAUAGCUUUAGGGCUAGCCUCGUGUUAACCUUGUGGAGGUAGAGCACUGAAUAUCCUAGGGGGCGUCAAAGUCUACCGAAGAUUAUCAAACUCCGAAUGCCAUAGAGGUGAUGCACGGGAGUCAGACUGCACGAGAUAAGUUGGGUGGUCAAAAGGGAAAGAGCCCAGACCUACAGCUAAGGUCCCAAAGUGCGUGUUAAGUGGAAAAGGAUGUGGGAUUUCGAAGACAACUAGGAUGUUGGCUCAGAAGCAGCCAUACAUUCAAAGAGUGCGUAAUAGCUCACUAGUCGAGAGGUCCUGCGCCGAAAAUGUCCGGGGCUGAAACACGACACCGAAGCUUAGGAAUGUAGAUGAACCUUUGGUUCUAUAUACAUUGGUAGAGGAGCAUUGUUAGCGCAGCGAAGCUGUACCGAUAAGGAGCAGUGGAGUGCUAAGAAGAGAGAAUGCCGGAAUGAGUAGCGAGAGGAAGGUGAGAAUCCUUCCGGCCGAAUAUCCAAGGUUUCCAGAGUAAAGCUGAUCUGCUCUGGGUAAGUCGGGGCCUAAGGCGAGGUCGAAAGACGUAGUCGAUGGAUAACAGGUGGAGAUUCCUGUACUAUGUGUACCCAGAACUGUGGGGACGCAUGUGGAGAGCAUGAGCCGGGAAAGAAAAGACCGGUACAAGCGGGGUAGGAGUAAGGACAGCAAAUCUUCCUUACAAUCCGAAGACGUGAUGUGGACCGAACCAAAGUAGGGAAGCAUGUGAGCCAUGUGCCAAGAAAAGCCGCUAUUGUGAUACACAUACCCGUACCGUAAACCGACACAGGUGGAUGAGGAGAGAAUCCUAAGGCCGACGGAAGAAGCAUUGUUAAGGAACUCGGCAAAAUGACCCCGUAACUUCGGGAGAAGGGGUGCCCUGUGAAAGCAGGGCCGCAGAGAAUAGGCUCAAGCAACUGUUUAGCAAAAACACAGGUCUAUGCGAAACCGAAAGGUGAGGUAUAUGGGCUGACGCCUGCCCGGUGCUGGAAGGUUAAGAGGAGAAGUCAGGCAACGAAGCUUCGAAUUUAAGCCCCAGUAAACGGCGGCCGUAACUAUAACGGUCCUAAGGUAGCGAAAUUCCUUGUCGGGUAAGUUCCGACCCGCACGAAAGGCGUAAUGAUUUGAGCACUGUCUCGACAAUGCAUCCGGUGAAAUUGAAGUACCAGUGAAGAUGCUGGUUACCUGCGCCAGGACGGAAAGACCCCAUGGAGCUUUACUCCAGCUUGAUACUGGGAUUCGAUACUGUAUGUACAGGAUAGGUGGGAGACGUUGAACAUAGAACGCCAGUUUUAUGUGAGUCGCUGUUGGGAUACCACCCUUGCAGUAUUGGAUUUCUAACCUGCACCCAUGACCUGGGUGGGGGACAAUGUCUGGCGGGGAGUUUGACUGGGGCGGUCGCCUCCGAAAGGGUAUCGGAGGCGCUCAAAGGUUCCCUCAGAAUGGUUGGAAACCAUUCGAAGAGUGCAAAGGCAGAAGGGAGCUUGACUGUGACACCGACGGGUGGAACAGGUACGAAAGUAGGACUUAGUGAUCCGGUGGUAUAAAGUGGGAUUGCCAUCGCUCAACGGAUAAAAGCUACCCUGGGGAUAACAGGCUUAUCACUCCCAAGAGUUCACAUCGACGGAGUGGUUUGGCACCUCGAUGUCGGCUCAUCGCAUCCUGGGGCUGUAGCAGGUCCCAAGGGUUGGGCUGUUCGCCCAUUAAAGCGGUACGCGAGCUGGGUUCAGAACGUCGUGAGACAGUUCGGUCCCUAUCCGGCGCAGGCGGAGGAUAUUUGAGAGGAGCUGUCCUUAGUACGAGAGGACCGGGAUGGACGGACCACUGGUGUAUCUGUUGGCUAUCGGAGCCAUGGCAGAGUAGCCAAGUCCGGCAGGGAUAAACGCUGAAGGCAUCUAAGCGUGAAGCCCCCCUCAAGAUGAGAUAUCCCUCAGAAAUGAGUAAGACCCCUUGAAGACUACGAGGUAGAUAGGAAUGAGGUGUAAGCACAGCAAUGUGUUCAGCUGACAUUUACUAAUCGGUCGAGGGCUUGACCAA
rnacentral:rRNA from 1 species